GACGAGGCACUACGGUGCUGAAGCAACAAAUGCCCUGCUUCCAGGAAAAGCCUCUAAGCAUCAGGUAACACGAAAUCGUACCCCAAACCGACACAGGUGGUCAGGUAGAGAAUACCAAGGCGCUUGAGAGAACUCGGGUGAAGGAACUAGGCAAAAUGGUGCCGUAACUUCGGGAGAAGGCACGCUGACACGUAGGUGAAGUGAUUUACUCAUGGAGCUGAAGUCAGUCGAAGAUACCAGCUGGCUGCAACUGUUUAUUAAAAACACAGCACUGUGCAAACACGAAAGUGGACGUAUACGGUGUGACGCCUGCCCGGUGCCGGAAGGUUAAUUGAUGGGGUCAGCGCAAGCGAAGCUCCUGAUCGAAGCCCCGGUAAACGGCGGCCGUAACUAUAACGGUCCUAAGGUAGCGAAAUUCCUUGUCGGGUAAGUUCCGACCUGCACGAAUGGCGUAAUGAUGGCCAGGCUGUCUCCACCCGAGACUCAGUGAAAUUGAACUCGCUGUGAAGAUGCAGUGUACCCGCGGCAAGACGGAAAGACCCCGUGAACCUUUACUAUAGCUUGACACUGAACAUUGAGCCUUGAUGUGUAGGAUAGGUGGGAGGCUUUGAAGUGUGGACGCCAGUCUGCAUGGAGCCGACCUUGAAAUACCACCCUUUAAUGUUUGAUGUUCUAACGUGGACCCGUAAUCCGGGUUGCGGACAGUGUCUGGUGGGUAGUUUGACUGGGGCGGUCUCCUCCUAAAGAGUAACGGAGGAGCACGAAGGUUGGCUAAUCCUGGUCGGACAUCAGGAGGUUAGUGCAAUGGCAUAAGCCAGCUUGACUGCGAGCGUGACGGCGCGAGCAGGUGCGAAAGCAGGUCAUAGUGAUCCGGUGGUUCUGAAUGGAAGGGCCAUCGCUCAACGGAUAAAAGGUACUCCGGGGAUAACAGGCUGAUACCGCCCAAGAGUUCAUAUCGACGGCGGUGUUUGGCACCUCGAUGUCGGCUCAUCACAUCCUGGGGCUGAAGUAGGUCCCAAGGGUAUGGCUGUUCGCCAUUUAAAGUGGUACGCGAGCUGGGUUUAGAACGUCGUGAGACAGUUCGGUCCCUAUCUGCCGUGGGCGCUGGAGAACUGAGGGGGGCUGCUCCUAGUACGAGAGGACCGGAGUGGACGCAUCACUGGUGUUCGGGUUGUCAUGCCAAUGGCACUGCCCGGUAGCUAAAUGCGGAAGAGAUAAGUGCUGAAAGCAUCUAAGCACGAAACUUGCCCCGAGAUGA
rnacentral:rRNA from 1 species